ensembl:lncRNA
CCUUUUUGCUGCUGAUUUCCUGGGACUUCCCAUAUCUGCUUUGGCCUGUUUUGAUUUCUUUAGGCAUCUCUGUAUGCAUUCAUGCAAAUUACACAGAAAGCCUAAGGGUUUUAUUAAUCAGGGGCAGCUGACUCUGUAAUAAACAAGCCCAAAUUGAAAUGGCUUAACAGAAAUGAGCAAUUCAAAUGCCUGCUUUGCCGGUUGGUGACUCUUCCGAGCAUCUCUGUAGGUCACAGAGUUCCCAGCUUGCUCUUCCAUCCAGUUAGGGGAGGUUCUCAGGCACAAGCCCUAGGUCAUGUACUCUUGCCCAUUUCCCUGGCCUGGAACUUAGUCACCCAGUCCCAUAUCCCUCCAAGAGAAGCUGGAGAUGCCUGGCCCAGGAGUCAGAGGAAGUGAGGUUUGGAGGCAGGCCUCCACAUCCCUGCAUUAGAUGGCUGUUAACACUUGUUUUGCUGCCAGUGGUGAUGGAAAGGUCUGCCUGUGUUUCCUCCCCUGAUGUCACUUCAGUAAAGAGCCUUCAUCCAGUAAUUGAUGUACCCAGAUGCAGAGAUUCACAACCAAGCACCAGGCCAAACUCUAGGAAUCCAGUCGAAGAGAGGGAGGAGGGAAUACAUGAACAAGGGAGAUGAAGAUCACGAUGGAGCAAUCUCUAGAGACAGCUGAACCAAACUGGUGGACACUCAUAAAAUCCAGACCAGCAGUUGUGGAGCCUCCAAGGGACUGAAGUAGGCCCAUGGGAAAUGUAUAACUUGGUCUAUCCGAGGAUCACCCUGGCAGUAGGACCAGGAUCUAUCCCUGUUGCAUGAGCUUGCUUGGGGAAGCCCAUUCCCUAGGGUGGGAUGCCAUGCUCAGCCUUCAUGCAGGGGGAGGGGCUCGGUCCUGCCUCAACUUAAUGAGCCAGACUUUGUCAACUCCCCAGGGGAGCCCUUAUCUGUUGGAAGGAAUGGAUAGGGAGUGGGCUGCAGGGGAGGGUCAGAGGAGGGGUAGGAGAGAGAAUUUUGGUUGGAAUGUAAAAUGAAAUAAAAAAUAAAACAAUGGGAAAUAAAAAAGAGAAUAACUCAGCUAAAAGACAUCAUUAUAGUAUUUAUAACAACCAAACAAUAUUUGUAAAUAUAACAAUACUUAUAACAACUAAAAAUUAACUUAAGUUCUGAUGCAAAAUGACUCAUGGGUGGUUUUCACAGUACUCACUGGUGUAUCACUGCAGUCCUGACUCUGAACAGACUUGCAUGAACUUUCCGAGUGCAUACAACCAUUCCAGGCAAUGUUGAUAAGCGCUACCUCUAGAGCCAUGGCUCAAAGUCAAUACUACUGUCUGAGAACUGCCAUGCUUUUAUUGUGCCAAGGUUUCUGCUCUUAUAGAAGCAUAAUGACUUCAUUACAGAAAAUAAAGACCUUUGCUAUUUUUCUAGCAUCAUCCCUCAGCAUGUAUCAAAUCAGAGUACCUUUCUAUUUUAUUGUGGUAGGUGGAUAAUCUAUCUCAUUAGCAUAACAAUUUACUUUUUGUCCUUAAAAUGACAAAAUUAUAUGUAUAGCCAAAAAGUUGUCAAAUACAUUUCUUUAUGACUUUGAUCUGUUACCUGUUUACUAAGUGUUCCUGUGUGUGCACAAGUAGGCCAUAGGUCAACAACGUUGGGUAUCUUCCUCAACUGCUCUCCUCAUUUUUGAAGACAGGGUCUCUCACUGAACCUGGAGUUCACUGAGUUUGGCCAGGCAAGCUGGCCAGCAUAUCCCAGGGAACAUGUGCUGCUAUGCCC